AAUAUGAUGUAUAUUGUCUGACUCCUCCCAGUGCUUGAAAGUAAAAAUGAAUAUUUGAAAAGGUAUUUGUAUAAGCUCAAGUAAACGGCGGCUGUAACCUUGACGGUCUUAAGGUAGCGAAAUCCCUAGUCAAUUAAUUGUUGACGUGCAUGAAUGGAGUAACGACUGUUUUACUGUCUCGGGCUUUUGUACUGUGAAUUCAUAAUUGUCGUGAAGAUACGACAUUCCUAUAGUGGGACGGAGAGACCCUAUGCAGCUUUACUAUAAUUUUAAAGUGUUUGAAAUUCUUUAAGUAUGUAGGAUAGGUAUAAGCUUAUUAUUUUUUAACGCAAGUUAAUUGAUUAGGCAAUCUUGAAAUAGUACCUCUUUAAAAAUUUUAAACUAAUUUUACAAAGACAUUUUAUGAUUGGUAGUUUCACUGGGGC
rnacentral:rRNA from 1 species